UCUUGGCAAAGAAAAACAAAAAGGCAGUCAGAAAAAAAAUUAUUAUCCAAUUAUAAGAAACACAGAGGCUGAAACCACAGAGACAAACUAAAACCUUAAGACUGGUCUCUGCCAAAUAGAGGAUGCCUUUUCUCUUUCAAAAUGAUGAGAUUCAGCACUUUGACUUCUGAGGCUGAGCAGAUGUUCUCUCUGUCACAAAUCUCUUAGCUCUGUGACUCUGUUGAGUGGGUGGUGCAAAAAAUAAAAUCUUUCAGGAAGAAGCUGACAGUGAAAGGCAGCAAGGGUCCUCUGAGCCACAGGGAGCUGGGAUGUGACCCAGAAGUCAGAAGAGAGGCCAUCUAGGGGAAGUGAGUCUGUAGCUUCCUCGUUCAGCUCAUUUGUCUCUAAUGAGGGAGAAAAUUUACACAGCCACAAAUUGUUGCAAUUCAGAGAGCUAAACUGAUUUGGAAACAUAUUUUGUCCUAGGAUAUUUCUUGGCCUGUUUGGGCUGCUAUAACAAAGUGCCUUAGGCUGGGUGGCUUAUAAAUAACAAAGGCUUACAGGUUUGAUGUCUGCCAAGGGCUCCUUCCUGGCUCAAACUUGGCCUCUUCUUAUUGCACCCUUGCAUCUCAGAAGAGACAAGCAUCUCCCUAGGGUCCCUAAAGGCACUUCUCUUGAACAUGGAGCUCUGCCCAUGACCCAGCGUCCUCACAAAGACUCUACCUGCUAACAUGACCCUUUGGAUGGGUAGGAUAUUCAUGAAUUUGGGCACAGUGGAUUCAUAAUAUUGAUACCCCAGACGUUCCCCACCCAGGGGAUGUUAUCCAAUACAUCUGGGAAAUUUUUAGUGACACAGGAAACUUUGCCAUUACUCUGCCUUCAUUUCUCCUCCUUCUGUAUGCCUGUCAGAUGUUCAACUCAGGCAGCCCAUCUGGAACCUCCCCUCCAGGAUAAUGUCUCCUCCUUAAAUGAGAAAAAAAAGUCUAGCCCCUCCUCCUUCUUGCUGGAUGUGAACCGCUCUUGAGGACUUCAAUCACCUGGCCUCCCCUGCCCUUCGAGCUAAAGGUUAAUUGAGGGGUGAAUGAAAACAACACAGCGUCUUAUGAGAAAUGAAAGAUGGCCAGAUGGAACCCACCAAGGGCGGCUGAGAUUUCAAUUUCCUUACUGUAAUGAAAACUGCAUUUCCAUUAACCGCUGUGGUAGAAAUGAUUUACCAGCAGAACGAAUCACCUGUGAUGCGCCCUGGCUCCUAUUGUGAAGCCUGGCUCUGCAGAGCCGACUGCUAAAGCAUCUCUUCAUUACCACCCGCCAUGUGGACCUGGGGCUGCUGCAGAGGGUAAAGGCUAUGGCCGUGGACAUGAAAAUGGGGGCCUCUGAGACAGAACAAAGAGGAGGCUCUAAAACUCUUUUCCUCCCCACAUUCUGUUACCGCCCUUUGCCUGGACAGAAUUUUUUUUUUUUUCCGAUGCGGGCACAUUUUACAGGCAGCCAGACGUAGGUCAGUAAGUAGCCAUAGGUACCUGGGGAGCUCAGGGCUUUGGGUCAUCAUCAGACCCCACAUUUGACCCAGCAUUUGAGAUUGCCUUACAGGAUCACCCUUUCCCUCUUCCCUAAUAAUAAGAUGCCAUGGUAUCAGCUUGGCAGAGGACUUCUUGCAACAAGACCCACCUUCCCAGCAUGCUUUGCAGCGGCAGACAACUAUGUCAUCACUGGGCACUAAGGAAGAAUAGUUCAUCUGGUCUUCAGGUUACUUCCAUUUAGUCAGCUGGGAUGUGGGCGUGAAAGCUGGAUCCGAGCAACCUUCUUACACCCUGAGUAAAAGCCACUCGUGAUUGUUAAGUACUAAGCCCUCUCUUAAUGCCAUAAUGGGGAGGCACCUCGGAGAAGCUGCGGUGUUUCAUUAAGGCCAGAGACUCAGACCUGGAGGUCAGCCAGGCUUGUGACUUUUCAAGACAAAGACCACUAUGAGUACCCAGAUGUCACUAUGAAAAACAUUGAAAAGUUAGCUUAGCCCGUGUCAGAUGUACAACCCCACUUCCUCUACUUUUGAGGUAGCUCAGCUCAUUUUCACAUUUAUCUGUCUGUCUGUCUGUCUGUCUAUCUAUCUAUUAAGUGUGUGUGUGUGUGUGUGUGUGAGUGUGUGUGUGUGUGUGUGUGUGUGUGUGUGUGUGUGUGUGGUGUGCAUGUGCGUGAUGCCAUGGUGCUUGUGUGGAGGUCAAAAGACAACCUGCAGAGGUGACUGUCCCCUUCCACCAUGUGGGUCCCGGGUAUUAAACUCAGAUCAUGAAGUUUGUCAGCAAGCACCUUUGACCUCAGCCAUCUCGCCACUCCCCAAGACAACCUUUGAGUUCAAAGUUAAACUCUCUUACAACAAAUCUAUGAAGUGGGGGGUGUUUGAAUUGCUGUGUGCCAGAAUUGGCAACAGUUCCAGUAAGCUAUGUUGACUGACCAUGAUCUUCGGAUGACAAUGCCAUCCUCUGCGAUAUGGCGACACCCUCUCCUUCACUCUGCAGUGGGUUAGUUAGCCUUUCUAGUCUCAGAUCAUUCCAGCCUGAAGCUCUCCAUCUUUGGAAUUUCAAGCCUGUGUCAGUGGAAUCCUGUUUUACCUGAAUUUCCCCAAGAUCAAGGCUAGGUUUGGGAUAUAACUUUUACACUCACUGUGGGCCCAGAGAAAAAUGGAGUGAGGCUGGGGGUCGGGUAUUUUCAAGCCAGUUGCAUUGCCGAAGCUGUGCACCCCAUGAAGGUCAGGAUUGAAUCUGGUCACCAGAAUGUCCCUACUUGCAGCUCAGAAAGGCCUCAACAAUAGGAUGGGAAUGAAGGCUGAGGGAGAGAGAAGGCCCGGCUGCCAGACUCACGGCAAUGAGCAGUGCUGAGUGAGUUACAACACUGAGUUGACACGUUCCUAUCCCUCACAGUGCCCAGGGAUGACAGCGUUUGACUGGCAUAGGCCCCCAUCGGAGUUCCACCAUUUUAUCCGCACCCCAUCUUUCUUUUAUGAAAUUUACUUCUGUGGGCUGUCAUCUGACUGGGGGUGGGGUGGGGUGGGGGGGGGAUGGGAAUGUUUGCUUCUUGGGAAAAAAAAGAAAAGAAAAAAGUCCCCUCUGGGCACUUUAAACAACUGCCAGGAUAAUGUGAGAUGGGAGGUCAUUCACCAUAGGCAGAACCUCGUGAGGACCACACAGAAGCUCCAGGCUUGGCAGCUUCACCCCCACCAACAGAGUCCCCACCCACUUUCCAGCCUUAGAUUUUUAGCUUCCCACAGAUUCCAAUUCCCACUCCCCACUCGGAACAACCUCCAUCCCUCUGCUUCAUAAGAGAGCAUGCUAGUUGAAUUGUAAGAGCAAAUUUCACGGAUGGGCUUUGUCCUCACCCACCGGGCUGACGACGGCUCGGUAAGCACUCAGACAGUAGAAGUUGCAAAGAGAGAUUGCACAGUCAAGCCCAAUGUUUUUCGAUUUGCAUGAUGAAGAUUGAAACAGCCGGGGAAGGUGAUAAUGACCAUUUCUAAAAUGAUUACGGAGACCAACACUUUGGCACGGAGAAAGUUGGAGAGAAAGCUGAAGACUGAACCCCGGGGCAGCAGGCGCUGGGUGCCAACACCUGCUUUUGCUCUACGGCUGGGGCAUUUCCCUCACCCAUCAGGAAUGCGCCUUGGCGAGUGCUCUUCUACCUUCACAGCAUGGUCGCUGCUCUGCCCGACUCUUCACAUAUUGAGAUGAUUGGGGGGGGGGGGGGCGCAUUUUCUCAGGCUUGAAGCAGUGCGUGUGGUGAUUGCUGCUUCCAGAUAGAAAACUGUGGAAUCCUGGAAAGAUCUGAAGAAACGCUCGCUCGCUCGCCUUGUGCUUUUGAUCCGUCUGAAUUGCGAAAGUAGGUCCUGGGGCUUGAACACGUCCUUCAAAGGGUCUGGUUCUCAUUUCUAUGCUGCAGUUAUUCUCUUCGAGAAGAACGGAUUCCCUCCCCACAACCCCACACAUUCUUAAAUGCUAUCGAAAACCAUUUGUUUCUUGUGUUGGGGGCGUACGUUUCAAAAGGAAUGGUUUUUGAGAAGCUCAUUCCAUGAGCCACGUUUGUUUGAUAGCAUAAUUUCCAGGGCAGCAAUACUGUUGCUUUUCCCAGUUUCUCUUUUGAACCUUCUGUGUGGUGGUGGCAGCUGCGGUGGUGAGACAACAGAGGGGAGAGUGGAGAACAAAGGAGAAAGGCAGAUAGAGAUCAAGUCAUCACUUGAGGUCUCUAUGGACAAAGGGUUUCCUAAGGCUGAACUCAGGUUCUGUCCGUUCCUACCCAUAGAACAAGGCCAGACCAUGCCUCCCCUCCCCGCAGGCCUGUGUGUGUGUGUGUGUGUGUGUGUAGUGAAGCUUUGUACCCAUGCUUCCUGCUUCCUUAAAGGAAAGGGGCAAGGCUGUGCGUGUUCAGUUUCUCCCCACUAAUUCACCUGUGGGCUGAUUCUCCUCUCACUUGGAAGGGUGCUGAGGAGGGACCCCAAAGGAUACGAGGAAGUUGUUAUUGUAAUGGGAAUCACCCCAGAGGGAAAGCGCCACUCAGAACAGGAAGUGUCUUCUACAAACAGGACAACAGUGAAGUAGGCAUUUUACAUCCCCCAGCUGUGCUCCCCACCCCUUCAGCCUCCACCCUGCCCUCUGAGCAUCCUCAACUGAGCCAAAGAAAGAGCCACACCAUAAAGAGACUGGGUUUCAGGAGAUAGGUUCCUCAGAGGAUCAUUUCUCCACAUCUUACUCUCCUGCCUGGAGCCAGAGGUGACAGAGAGAUGGUUUUCCCCCUUGUUGACACCAUCCUGUGAUUUGAGGACCAACUUCCCUCCCCAAACUCUUCUUCUGUCUUGGAUAUCCCACCUCACACACAGCUAUAUUUUUUCCACAGGCCUUCGGACUUGCAGAAGUCUUACCCACAUAAAAACAGUGUGUUCACUUGUCCCCCACCCUUAUCAGCAUAUCUCCAUCUCUAUAUUUCCUUUUCUAUGCAAGAAAACAAAAAACAAAACAAAACAAAACAAAACAAAACAAAACAAAACAAAACAAAAAAACUCCUUCAAAGUCUUGCCUGAAUAGACAAGAGACAGAAGCCCGGUCGGUCCUCCUGGCUGCAGUGAGGUGAAGCGGGAUGGAAUGUUUCACUCAGUGAAUGCUACUAGACACAGAGGCAGACACUGCGUGUCCUAACUCAUACGUGGCAGCCAGACAAGUCCGCUUCUCAGAAGCAGAAGUAGAAAUGGGGUCUGAGAAAGGCAAGAGGGAGAGGGGACAAAGGGGAAACCAGAACACAGAUGGGGAUGCAGUGUUAAGUUAGGAGACUCGGGGAGUGGGGGGGGGGGGGGUGGGAGACUUUUGGGAUAGCAUUGGAAAUGUAAUUGAGGAAAAUACAUAAUAAAAAAAAAGAAUUAUAAAGAUAAAAAAAAAAGUUAGGAGACUCAGCAAAAUGUCCUGCAGCAGGAACUGAAACUAUUUUAGAGACAACAAGCAGAGAGAUGCCGCUUAAGGUGAGGGGAGAGUGCUCAUCGCCCUGACCGGAAUAUCUCACAUUACAUAUCAUUACGUAUAUGUAUAUAUUAUCACUCUGUGCCCACCCCAUACGUACAAUGGCUAUGUGCGAAUUUAAUAAAAAGGAAUUAAACCUAUUAUCUGAGGGUCUGGUGCUACUCUUCCCCCCCCCCCCCAAGCUACUCCGCCAAUGCAGCCCUCUGAGGGGCUCAAUGACCUUUGUUCACAGAAGUUCCUGUGGACAUUUGAGUCCUUGACCUUCUGGCCCCGAUGGAGACAGUGGGCACCCUUGCUCAUUUCUGUAUUCUUCUGACAGGGCUCUCUCUUGCUUACCUAUCUCUCUGCCUUUGGAAGUUCACCCUCUCCUGGCAGCCAUCUCUGUCCUUCCUUGUUGGUGUGCUAGUCUCCCAAGCCAUGAAUGAUUAGACGACGUGCUCGCUUGGUCAGUAAAGUUUUCUUGAGCAUCUCUUACGUGACAGAUGACAUGCCAGACAGGGAGACUUUAUCAAGAGACACUCAAACCGACAACAGACACCCUACUCUGAUGGAAUGUGGGUGCUAAUGGAGAAGACAGGAGGUGAAUGAGCAAGUUAGGUAACUUGUGAGGUGGGGGAUCAAAGCUGAGGAGAAACAGAAUUUGGAGAUAGAGUCUAUGAAAGGUAUUAGGUUAGAGAGAGGGCACAGUUCUAAAAGGAGUCAGAAACUAUUUUGUUUGUUUCUUUGUUUUGUUUUUCUGCCUCUGGGUAAUGCUGACCUCACAGAGUAGAUCUGGAAGUGUUCAGAUCAUUGCCUCGCUUGGGAGACUUAGAGGAGAACAGGCGUUCAUUCUUCAAUUGUCCCGGAGAACAUACAAACGAGGCUACCUGGUCCUGAGAUUUCGUCACAGAGAGGUUUCAAUCUGUUGACUCGGUUUCUUGUGGUAGCUAGCUCUCUCAGGACUUCCUUUCUCUAGGGGGGGAGAGGGAGGGUGUAGUUGGGUGAUUUGUGUUUCUGGAGAUUGCCAUUAGCCAAGCUGUCUGGUUCGUGGGCAUGCAAUUGCCACCCCCUCCUGUGUGCCUGCUUGUUUCUAUGGGUCCCUGUGACCUCUUCUUCAACAGCAGCGGCCGG
rnacentral:lncRNA from 1 species